CUAACUCCUCUACGUUCAUUUGUAACUGCCGAUUAUGAUCGUCUAAUGCAACUGAUGACACUGAACGAUCAUCUACUUUGAAGGCAUUGUUGUUCACUAACAGGAGGUUCUCUUUCUCUAAAUUGUCAGCAUUAGUAAGCACAGAAGCAUUAAUUCCAGAAUUAGGGCUUGGACAGAUUGCAGAGAGGCGUGCUACUUCGUUCUUAAGUAGAUUCAGCUGUUCAGUAAACUCGUCAGCAGUAUUUGAGGAGGCUCCAGGAAGGCAACUACCGGGCAUAUUAGAGGGAUUUUCAGCUAGCGUCUCUGAGCGAAGCACAAUAUCGCGUAACUGGGCUACCAAAUCUUGCUGCUCUGCUAGAAUUCCCUGCUGUAA